rnacentral:rRNA from 1 species
UCGUGUAGUGAGAUGUUGGGUUAAGUCCCGCAACGAGCGCAACCCUUGAUCUUAGUUGCCAUCAUUAAGUUGGGCACUCUAAGGUGACUGCCGGUGACAAACCGGAGGAAGGUGGGGAUGACGUCAAAUCAUCAUGCCCCUUAUGACCUGGGCUACACACGUGCUACAAUGGACGGUACAAAGAGCUGCAAGACCGCGAGGUGGAGCUAAUCUCAUAAAACCGUUCUCAGUUCGGAUUGUAGGCUGCAACUCGCCUACAUGAAGCUGGAAUCGCUAGUAAUCGCGG